CUCCGCCAGGAAGGAAUGGACCUCAUGCGUGUCUUAGCCUACGAAGACCUGUACCAGACCUCGGCGCAACAGGACUGUAAGGAAAAUCCACACAGCAAAUCAGAACCUGACCUCAGACACAUAGACUCAGAAGAGUGUCUUGGAGAAGCAGCUGCAUUGCCUGCUGUGGGUAAUCAGAGCCAUCUGCAACUGAGGCUGAGCUGAAUAAAGCUGGAGUCUGAAGGGGCAAUCUUAAUAUGCCUGAAGGGAAUAAUUUAUACCACUCUACAAGGCUCUGGGAACAUAGCAGAAGAGGGCAGGAAGAAGGUGAGCCUUGGAGGGAGAUGCAGGGUAGCUAUUUCCUCUGGGCUUAUUGUAACUAUUGGUCUCCAGGGGCAGAGAUUGUGGUGAUCCAAUCUUGGUCCCACAGUUAUGACCCUCGGGAUUGAGAGGUCUGUGUGACAGUCAUAGAGCUGUUAGCAUUCCCCGAGCUCUACCCUCCAUUCCUGGUCCUCUGUACAUGUGCUGUGCUGCAGUAGUGGUGAGUGAGGUUUGACUCUGGUGUAAGGGGAGUGGGAACACGAUACGAGUGCUGAAGGGUCAGCCAUGAGUAACUAAAAAGUACACUGCUAAGUCAGACCCCCAGCGGGGGACAGUGGGGACAGUGGGGACAGUGGGGACAGUGGAUAGCUCUUUGUUUCCCAGGAGUAAUGCAUAUGAAAUGGCCAGCAACAAGGCUGUUCCCAGCAGCCCUGAACUCAGACAGUCAUGCCAUCAUCAGUUAUGGUCUAUGCAAGCAUGGGCAUGGCAGUAGGCGAGCCAGCAUGAGAACACAGGCCACACGCAGGACUGCACUUGCACAGAGCUCCAGCAACAAAUGCUGUGAGCGCCAUCAGAGUGGGACUGGGCCGCCUUAGUUGUGGCCAGGGAGACGGUGGCUGACACGCCAGUCACUUUGAGUCACAGCACAAACUUCUCUGUUCACUUGACUUUUCUUUUGGAGCUUCUAAGAUCUGGGCUACUUUGCUUUUGGUCUUUUUCUCUAAACCUUGGUGUGCUAACUGUGCCCUUGGCUUAGCACCUGACUUGUGAGCAGCCAUGGCCCAUGCCCAGCUCCUGACCUGCCUGCAGUGGUCGCAUCUGGUCAGCAUGAGGCAGUGUUUCCAGUAGUGGAGGUCCAGGCCCUCUUCUGUGAAGGACUCAUUCCUCUCCCCACAAAAGAUACACAGACUACAAUGAAACAGAAAAGAUGGAAGUGAAGGCCAGGCUCUGGCUACUGUGACCACACAACCAUGACUGCACUGGACUGAGGAUUCUCUGGACACCACCUGUCCUGAAAUGCUCAGUGCUCUGAGGGCAGGCUGCACCUCCUGGGAAGGACAGCACGGCUCAGGGUUCUCACACAAUGCCAGGAGAAAGGUCCUCACCAAGCAGGAUAAAGAGCUUAAGGUCCCUCUGGUGUGGCCUUGCUGGCACAGUCCUACUGCAGGUGGCAUACGUCACAGAAGGGCUGGAGGACAGCUCAGGCCCUCAAAGAAUGGACCUGCCCCUGGAUACUGCAGGUCAUUAUUUGCAGCAGGAUGCCCAGGGCGACGGUUGUGGGGUAAAGAAGGGACUGUGGCUGAGCCUGGCCCUUGCCAAUGUGCAACAGCUUAGGGCAAUUUCCAGGCUUUGGGAUCAGGGAGAGCCAGGGAGUCCCGCCCAGAGCCUCUCCAAGCCUCCCAUGCAACAGAUCCAAGCAGCAUCACUUACUUAUCCAAAAAGUGGUUAGCUGGGAUUUCUGGAGUGUCGGGUAGGACAGCUUUCCUUCCUUGAGGGUCUGAGGAGAUUAAAAGAGCACAAUUUAGGUAACAGUUGGUUGAAAUGUUUAAAGUCUCAGUAAAAAAUAGUCAUUUUUAAAAAUGUCAUUUUACAAUCCAAUAGUAAAGCAUCCAAUACAAUGUUCAUAUUCAAUUGGGGCUGCAGAGCCAAGAGAAUUUUUUUUUUCCUUUUUCCUCAAUGCUAGGGGUCAAAUCUGGGGCCUUGCCCACCCCUUGCACUGCCACGAAUGCACAUGCAGCCCCUGGUUUGAGAGCCUUGCUAUGUAGUUCACAGCUGUGUCAAACUUGCUGCGGUGCUUUGAGUGACACCAGUCCCCACAGGCUCACGUGUCUGAAUGCUCCUUUCCCAGCGGGUAGAACUGUGCAGGAAGGAUUAGGACAUGCUGCUCUGUUGGGAGAAGCACGUCACUGGGGUUGGGCUUGCCAGUCUGUCUGUCUGCCUGUGCCCGUGGAUCAGAUGUGAGCUCUCAGCUGUUUCAGCACCAUGCCUGCCUGCGGCCAUGCUCCUGCCAUGAUAUACCUUCUGAAACCACAAGCCCCAGAUAACCUUUUUCUUCUGUAGGUUGCCUAGGUUAUGACAUCACAGCAUCGAAGCGUAACUAAGACACAUGCCACCCCCACCUCACCUGCCACUCCCCAGGCUCACGCGUGUGGCACCAGGGCUGCUAAAGUGACACUUGAAACUUGCUAUGUAGCCCAGGCUGGCCCCAAGCUCACAAGAGGACGUCCAGCCUCUGAAGCUGGGAUUAGAGGUGCGUGCACCCUGCUCGGCAAAGGCGUGCUUCCAGGGCUUGCUCACCUUGAUUCCUGAGCUUCACAGCCUCACUCUCCUUCUCCUACGACACAAAGAGAAGAAGAUCAGGAGUGAGCUGUGGCGUGUGUGUGUGGCGUGUGCAGCCCACAGGGACAGGAAGCAGCAGCUCCACUCUCUCUCUCUGUUUUCUAUACUCUCCUCUCACACUGGCCUUUGGUGGGAAGCUCUGGGGACCUUUAGCCCUCCUUAGGCAGAUAUAUUUAGACAUGUUUGCUGCUUUCCCACUUCAUGUUUUUUUCCCAUUUAUGUAGAGAGCAGCACGUGAGCCCUCUGCACAUCUCCCAGCAUCCUUGGAGUGUGCAGCAACUGUGGUUACCGGUAUAAGCAGUGGCAGUGUGAGCCUUGGUGCAAGCACAGAGCUCAGAGGACCUCUUCGGGGAGUCGGUUCUCCAUUUAUCAUGUGGUUCCAGGGACUGAACUAAGGUCAUGAAGUCUGGCAGUGAAGACCCUGUACCAUCUUGCCUGCCUGCCUACUUUGCUUUUAACUUCAGGAACUUAACUGCAUAAUUAAUGGUCAGAAACCAACUCCAACCUAGAAGUAUGAUGCACAGCAAAGUUUCUACUCUACACAGAGCCUGCUCCUACCGCAUGCCCCAACAGCCCUCAGAGAGACCUCAAGUCCAGUGCCUGGUAGAUUUCCCUGCAUGACUGAAAUCACACCUUCAGCUGCAGGCCACUUCCAGGAUAGGGCAACGCUGGUGCACAACUCACAUGCAGGACAUGGACAGGGCAGAGCCUUGCUCGGGGACCAGCUUCUUACACAGAUUGUGCUCUGCCACAUGGGGCUCAAGAAAGAACCUAGCCGUUUGUUCCUGCCUCAGGUCACUUCCUAAACACAACCCGCAGUGUCAUCAGUCCAUGAAGGCCUACUCACCCUCACCUCAGCCUCCGUUGGUAAGACAGAGCCAUCUAUCUUAGCAAACCCCUCAAAGAUGGCUUUGUAGAGAAGGUUCCUGCGUGUGGCGCUGUCGUCUGGAGGGAGGUGCUCCAGGGUGAGGGCUGGGUGCUGUCUGUACAUGUCCAGGAUGAUCCUGACCGCUGUCUCUCGCACCUCAUACACCCUGUGCUCCAGGGCACUCACUGCAAACUGCAAGGAAAGCAGGCUUAGCUCUGCUACUGAUUUCUGAAUGACCAAGUUAACUUCUCCCAGCACAAAGCGACCUGAGCAUACUGCAAAGACUUGGAAAAUAAAUACGAGGCCAAGAGGAGACAAGCACUCCACUGUGCGGACACACAGAGGGAGCCACCCACAGCUCUCCACUGCCCGGGCACACAGAACACUCAUGUCCAGUGAGUGCUUUGCCUUUUCCAUGUGGCGGGGAUGCCGUGCCUGGAUUAAUUGAGAUUACAGACGUGCACGGCCAGUUGUGUGUGGUGGUGUGGUUCGUGGGUUUUCAUGCUUGUCAGGUGAGGACUUGGUCGGCUCCCCACUGCUGAUGGCGACCUGUGCACUCUACCCUCUCACCAGUUGGUGUAGAAACAGCAAGAAGAUCCUAGCUACUCCCACAUGCUCUCAUUAGACGGAGCUGGGGCCAGGGUCAUGCUGCACGAGGCUGGCUCACCUUCAUCACAUUGUCCACCGUGAAGCCUGAGCUCUCGGUGCCCAGGUCUCUCAGCAGCCGGGCCAGCAGGUCCACCUGGCUCAUGGCCAGAUGAACGGAAGCAUUGGCCUUCAGCGGCUGCACCAAGUAGGACGGAAUGAGCUGGAGAGACUUCACCUCCUUAAACAAGGCCAUUUCCUACAGGAUACAGCACAGUGUGUUAACUGCUAGGCAAAAGCUGGAGGUUACUUAGUACGACUUAGCAUGACAUCACACUGAACCCCGAAGAGAGACAACAGGGAAGUGAGGGACAGAGCAAGCCACGGCCAGCUGUGAAUGGGAGCUAGGGAUUCUGGGAAAGAAUCAGAGAGGGGGCAAAACCACAGACCCGAGGUAGAGAUCAACAGGAGAGUCAGGAAAACCUUACAGAAAACAGUCAGAGCCCCAGCCUUCCAUUCUUGGUGUUACUCAACCACAAUGCAAACGUGUUCUGCGUUUAAGAUUUGGGAAGAGAUUAGGCCUAGAGCUGGACCUCAGCACGAGUGUUAACGGUGCUUUGGCCUGUGUGCUCACUCGUGAAGGAGCACAAGCCCCAUUGCACUGCUUUCCUUGUUGGCACUACACAGGUUCUCACUAUGUAGCCUAGACCUCCUUGAACUUACCACAUGUGGUGACAUGUGGAAACAAUCUAUCUUUGUACUUAGGCCAUGAGUGAUGGCUCAGGUACAAAGGACACAGGCACAGUGAAUAUGACCUCUGGGGGGUCAGGACAGCCGGUUCCUGAAACAAGUGGGCCUGAGGGUGGAGGCUCAGGGCCAAUUAACCUGAUGACUUUGAAAGUUUAUUUAUUUUUUAUGUGUGAGUGUGUCUAUGUGCACUUGUGCUCUGUGUCUGUGUAUGCCCUGUGGAGCUGACUCACAGGAGGGUGGAUGUGAGAAGUCACACCUGGGUGCUGGAGCCCAGCCCCUUCACCACUGCUGCUGGCUUUGUAGCCCAACCUGGGAACACUCGGCACAAGGUAAUGUCAGAUGCAGGAGGCUUUCGACUACCCAGAAUCUAACAGGGCAAGUCAUGUUCCUGGAGCCCUAGCACGGGAGGCUCAGACAGGGGAGCUGUGAGUUAAGGGUAGCAUGGCUAUAUGGUAAAACAUUUAACACGGCUGAGUGUGGUGAUGCACUCCUGCAGUUCUGGCUGUGGAGGGCUGUGGAGGGAGGGCAGAGGAGGGAGGGCUGUGGAGGGAGGGCAGAGGAGGGUGGCCUGGGUGACACCCAUCUCUUAAGGAAAAACAAAAACCAAACCAACUAGCUCACUAACACCUUCCUGCCCCUGUCUUUCAGAGGCAGAUGCAUCUUUAGCAGUGACCCCGUGCAAGCCUUGUGCUACAUGCACACUGCAGCGCUUCUGUCCCGCUGGCUUGCCUCAUUUCUUCCUAUUGUUUUCCCUGAACAUUAAAUUUCUUAAUAAAGCCAGGUCUUAGAUUCUUCACAUUUUGAGAAAUGGAAAACAUUCCAAUAUGGAUGUAUGCACUCACAAAACUCUGCAUCAAACUUUAAGGAAUUCUUAGAUUUUCUCAAGUCUAGAUAUGGAGCGUAACUAGAGGCUCCCUAAGUCUGCUAGGCAGGUCACCCUGUGACCCUGUGCUUGGGAGGCCAAGGCAGGAUGCAGGAAACCCUGCCUCACACUGAGAAAGAAACCAAAACAACCUUCCUGAACUAGAUGGCUCACGAGCAAAUUUAAAUAAAGCCAAAUAUAUUUUUGUAGUACUUGAUAAACUGUGUGUCAACCCUCCUGCCUGUUUAUGUGAAUAUUUCACACACACAGCCCACAGUAAGUGUGCUUGGUGAGAGAAUGAAAACGGCUGAACAGCAGUGUGUCCAUUCUCGUUCUCCUCUUCCUUUUUGUUAACAGUCCUCUGGGUGACUCCGCUGUACUUAUUCUGUGCAUGUGUGGGUGAGAGUGGAGGGCAGAGGUUUCUUUCAACCCUGUGGGUCCACCUUAGGGAUUGAACUUAGGCUGUCAGGCUUGGUGGCAGGCACUUUUCACCCACUGAGCCAUCUCAUAACCCUUUCUUUUGUUCCUGUGAAUGGUGUGCCUACAUGUGUUGGUACAUGUUGACAUGUGUGUGCAUUCAUGUUGGCAUGUGUGUGCAUUCAUGUUGGCAGGUGUGCAUGCAUAUUGGCAUGUGUGUACAUGCCUAUUGGCAUGUGUGUCUAUGCAUGUUGGCACGUGUGCAUGUGUGUGCAUGCAUGUCAUCAUGUGUGUACAUUGCCUAUUGGCAUGUGGGUGUCUAUGCACGUUGGCAUGUGUGUGUAUGCAUGUUGAGGUCCAAGGUUGAAUUUCAGGGGUCUUCCUACAUAUCUCUUCCACUUUAUUUUGAGGCAGGGUCUUGUAAUCAGUCCCAGUGACUGCUGAUUUGGCUAGAUUUGCUAGGAAGCUUGAUCCAUGGAUACGAUCUGCACCUUCCAGGUCUGUGACUGAGGCAAGCCACCAUGCCUACCUGGUACUUAUAUGGAAUUUUUUUUUUUAAAGAUUUUAUGUAUAUGAGUACACUGUUGCUGUCUUCAGACACAUCAGACGAGAGUGUUGGAUUCCAUUACAGAUAGUCGUGAGCCAUCAUGUGGUUCCUGGGAAUUGAACUCAGGACCUCUGGAAGAGCAGUCAGUGCUCUUAACCGCUGAGCCAUCUCUCCAGCCUGGGCUCUAGGGAUCUUAACUGUGAGUUUGCAACGGCUUUAACUGCUGAGCCGUCUGCUUAGUUUUAUACAUUCCUUAUUUCCAUCUCCAAUAAGCUGGGUGUGGUAUUAAGCCUGCACUCUGAGUACUUGGAAAGCUAAGGCAGAGGUCACUGAGUCUGAAGAAGCCAGCCUGGGCUCUACAGUCAGCUAGAGUCCAGCCAGCAUUACAGAACGAGAAUCUGUCUCAAAACAACAACAAAAGCUUAGGUCUACACAGAACUUGUCUCUCGAGCACUAGGGGAGCAUGAGAGCAACUGUCGGAGGCUUUGCAGCACAGAGAACCCUGCAAGGCAGAGUCAGACAGCAGUAAGACGGUGACAGGGAGGUCCCAACCUGGAUGAAAUUCAAGGCCAUGACACGGAGGCGGGCAGAGGAGUCUCCAGCUCUGGCGAGUAGAAGGGGGAAAGCUCUCUCCACACAGUGCGUUGUGUCAAGUUUGCCCAGCUUGUGCUUGGGAAUAUACUGUGUAAUUAUCAUUUUCAGCAAUUUCAAUGAAGCCUGAAAGACCUACAGAAAAUGAGGUAGACAGAUCAGCUGUGUGGGGGGAGUUCAACUAAUGUGAACAUUAGACGAUGAACUGCUUCCACAUAUAGCACCCCACGCCAGAGCCCUGCACCCAUCCUGUUCCCUCACCACUUGACGAUGCUGACCAUGUGACAACAGCUACCCAUCCUGAACUAACCCUAGUCCUCAACCUGUCUUGUCCGGAGUGUUCAUUCGAAAGCCUGCUCAGAGCUGCAGAAGCAAGGGCAACUCGUGGCCCCUCAGGAGAACCCAGGAGAGCUGAGUGCUAUCUGUGGGGCUCUGCCUCUCUGCUGAGGAUGACGGAAAAACAGAGGCUGUGCAAAGCUGAGCAAGUGUCCAGGUAAGGACAGCCCCUCCCAUCUGUCAUUUACCCAGCCUCUUGCUGGGGACCCUCAUUCCUGGUCUCACUGGAAGCUGAGUCACAGUUAUAUCAGUGACCUGGGGACAGCAGGUUGAGGGACUUACUGAGGCCACAAUGUCCUUUAUGGCUCUUCGGAUGAGAAAGACAGAUGCUCGGAGCAUGUUUUUCAAAUCUUCCUUCUGGGUUCCAACAGGCAUCUCCAUCAGCUUCUUGUACAACGCCAGUAGUGCAUCUUCUCGGCAGGACCACAUCUUAGAAUAGGCCCCAGCCACCUGUCAGAAAACAGCAGGUCUGCUUUACUCCAGGAGGUAGCCUGUCCAGCACCACACAGACACCCUAGGCUGCCUGCCAUCUUGCACUUUAAGGCUCUUUUCUAGUAGGGAGCUGGUCUGUAGGUGGAGCUGUGUUAAUGGGAAAUGAAGACCUGAGAACCUGCACACUGUGGACACUGACUCCUGCAAGGACACUAACCUCCACAUGUGAUUGGCAGGAUGUGCACUCCAUACACCUCCCCUCUUUCCAGGUACAGGCAUAUAGACAUACAGACUGAAACAGAUAGACAGACACACAGACACAGACAUACAGACUGACUCACAGAUAGAUGCAAACACAGACUUGAUACACACACACACACACACACAGAUAUACAGACUGACACACAUAUGCACAUGUUAAACAAAGUAAAAAAAAUGCAAAUGCAGCUGUCUUCUCUUCUUUCUCUCUGUGUGCUCUGUGUGCCUGUGCACAUGUGCAUGCCAUUGUGAUUGUGUGCAUAACUUGGUUUUCCUUUUUUACCAAGGCUUCGCCUAAGGUGUCGAUGGCAGCACUGGCUUCUCUCAAGGCCUUCUCUGUCAAGGGCUCUGGCUCCCCUGCGACACCCCGCCUCCGGACAUCACUGUCUGCCUCUUUCACUUCUGCCUCUGCAGAUGCUUCCCCCAACUGCUUCCGAGUAACAGGAAGAGGCCGUUCAUCAUAGGGCAGGACUUCCGUCUGUAAGGUAAGCAGAGGUGAGCCAAGUGCUGUGGAGCUGAUGCUCUGGGUGGGGGCUCUGCCCGGGAUGCCUCCUCCACAGCCUGGUGGAACCCUUCUGGUUCAGCCGACGUACGGCGCAGGAGAAAGGUCAUCCAUUUCCUCUCAGACUAGUGUGAGGACAUUCUUUUACUGUACGACACAGAGCAAUGCACACGCUCGCUAUGGGAGGCCUCAGAGCCGGCACAGCCUCCUAGUGAGACAGUCUGUACCGAGUCCUCUGGUGCUCCUUGGGGAGCAGCUGCCGUCCCAGGCUUCAGUCUUCCGGCACCUAACUCACCAGGCACCUUUCUUGCUGUCCACACAGCAGUGAGGACGGACCUUCUGGCCUCACAGCCGUGUCCCGUCUUAGACAAAGGCACGGAAUUAAAAAGGCAAGCAUACAGUGGUGAGAGCAGAGAGAGCAUUCCUGACUGGGUCCUGACACCCGGUGACAAGUCCCUGACUCUUCCUGAGACAGUAGGUGAGUACACACCUGUAAGGAUACUUUUCUCAAAGUCCGAAAUCACAAACGCCAACCCUGAGUCAACACGGAUAUCUCAACUAGGCCGCAGAGGCAUUGCUACCCUAAGCUGACCCAUGAACACGAAGCCCCUCUGCUUUGCAAUACAUGCUCUGGAAGGCCUGGUGGGGCAGCCAGCAUAGGCCUCUCUGUUCUGGCUGCUGCUUCCGAGGCUGGCAUGGGACUGAGGGUGAUCCAGCUGGACUGAAGUGGGGACCCCUUGGCAAAAUGUUCUCCUGUGCCAGUGGGUAGCCAAGGAAGACAGGAGCUGCAGACUCAAGUGAUAGAAAGAAACCAGGCUUCUGAUGAGACUUGGGCUCCUGAGUCAAACCAAUCCUGGAACCACAGGACCUGUUGUGCUCUUUGUCAGAGCAGUCAGUACAGAGUCCAGUGUUCUCAGGUUUUCUGUCACCAUGCUGUUGUAAAGGCACGGUGACCAUGGGCACGUGGUGCUAUGUGAAAAGUAUGCCCAGCAGAAUUCACCCAUUUAUUCUGAGAUAGGAUCACUCCAUGGCCUUGGACACCCUGGUACUUGCUAUGUAGUAUAAGCUGAGCUGGCAGCAGUCCUGCCCCGGCUCCUGGAGAGCUCCAGGCGCUCGUGCCUCACACAUGCUCUUUUACAUCUCCAAGCAAUGCUUGAGGCAGAUAUUUUCUUUCAGAAAAACCAGGGGCUCAAAAGAUAGACUGAGGCCACAGAUGAAGAACUACAGAUGUGGCUGUCAAGGAGUGGCCAAUGGGAAUUUGCUCCCUCUAGCUCUGCUCUAGCCUGUGUCCCAGCGCCCUCCUGGAUGCAGGGAGGGCUGGCCCUGCAGGAGGCAUGGACCUGUUCUGAGAUUAGCACCCGUGACAACCCAUGCUGCUGACUGUCACGAUGGAGGAGAGUAACUUACAUGGCUCCUUGGGGCGUGGCCUGCAGCAGGUGGGGACGGGUCCACUGCUGAAUGCUGAGGAGAAGAUGCUGAGGGCUUCUCCUGGAGGACAGGGCCAGCAAACGAGUCUUCAGCUACCAGCUUUUCUGUGCGAGGGAGUGAGGACACGGCCUUCCAGUGCUGGGGACUGCUGGGAGAUGCAAGGGGCUGGAGGGGCAAGGCGAAUGGCCUCUGCAUCUGGAGGGAAAAUGGGACAAAGGCAUGAGUGCUGCUCAUCAUCUGACUGCAGGAAGACUGUGCUGAGAGACACCUGGCAUGCCAGAAAGUAAGGACAGUUCACGAGCACAUAAUGGUCCUAGGCCUCAGCUAAGGCCUAGGGCCAUGGCAUCUGCUCAGCUGUGUCUGCCACAGUUACAGAGCAGACUACAGAGCAGAGUCACAUCCUGACUUAGCAUGGCCAUGGGUGCUUGUGCAGGGUUUAGCAACACAUGUCCUAGAAGCACAACGGGCAAGGCCCUGGGUUCAGAGCCAGGCUCUGACCCAGGUAGCACCCUGGGGUUCACACUGCUCUAUGUUUCUAUCUAGAAGGAAGGCAGAGACAUGCAGCCCAUCCACACCAGCCUGAGGCUGGCAGCCUAGAGAGUGGGACUGCUACAGGUACUACAACCCACACAAUAUGGAGACCAGUCUGGAGGGAUGCCAAGGCCGAUCUUCCUGACUCUAGCCUCUGUGAACCCUAGAAGAUUGCAUCACAGCAGAGACCUGCUGAUUGUUCAAGACAUGGAGUACCUGCCAGGGUCCUCAGGGAGCCUGAGCACAAUCCCCACGUGCCCCCACCCUGAGGCCAGCUCUGACCUCUGGCUCGCCCUGCAGAAGGCCAUGUAGUUCCAGCUGUUCGUACACCUGGGCACGGUAGCGAGCCAUCUGCUGUUUCUUCUCCUUGGCCAGAUCGUAGUCUUCCUUCUCCACCGCACAGCGCUUCUCCACUUCAUAGCGCCCUAGGCGCUCACCGACCUGCAGCACACAACGUGGGCAUCUACUCUCAUAGGACAUGCGUGGGUGGGAGGGUCUGUGCUGUAUGCUGUCUCAAUACCUGGCACUCAGGAGUCCCACACGGCCAAAGCCUCUGGCUCACUGAUCCCCAACGCUACCUGCCUGGGACUCUAACUGCAUCUCUGCUCCUCAGCCUUCAGGAACCUUCAGGGGUGGUGCAGAGGAGAUCCAGCCUGGGCAGGUGAGGGUAUGUGCUCAGAAGCUGUACCUUCUGCAAGUCAGCGAUCGCUUGCUUCAGUUUCUUUGCAUGGUCAUAGCGCUCCUUCUUGACAGCUUCCCGUUUCCUUUCAUCCAGCCUGCGGAUGAUCUGGGCAACUUCAGGGUCUUGGUACAUGUCAAAAGCCAAGUCAUCAAGUGGAGAGAUGUAGUCAGAUCGCCUAAGGAGAGAAGACGACCCCUUCGGUCAGGAGAGCCAAGAGCUCAUGCUGCACACAGAAAUGAAUCUUUCGGGGCUGGUGAGAUGGCUCAGUGUGUAAGAGCACCCGACUGCUCUUCUGAAGGUCCAGAGUUCAAAUUCCAGCAACCACAUGGUGGCUCACAACCAUCUGUAACGAGAUCUGAUGCCCUCUUCUGGAGUGUCUGAAGACAGCUACAGUGUAUUUACAUAUAAUUAAUAAAUAAAUAAAUCUUAAGAAAUGAA